rnacentral:rRNA from 1 species
GAUGAACGCUGGCGGCGUGCCUAAUACAUGCAAGUAGAACGCUCAAAGAAGGAGCUUGCUCCUCUCGGGUGAGCUGCGAACGGGUGAGUAACGCGUAGGUAACCUGCCUGUAAGAGGGGGAUAACUACGGGAAACGAGAGCUAAUACCGCAUAAUAUUAGAAGCUGCAUGAUAUCAUCUUAAAAGGCGGUAUUGCACCACCAUCUGAUUGACUUUCGUUGUAUUAAGCAGGUGGUGAGGUAACGGCGUACCAAGGCGACGAUACAUAGCCGGACUGGGAGGGGGGAUCGCCACACUGGGACUGAAGCACCGGCCAAAAUCCCACGGGGGGGAGCAGGAGGGGAUCUUUGGCAAUGGGGGGAAGUCUGGCCGGGCAACGCCGCGGGAGGGGAGAAGGUUUUCGGAUCGUAAAGAUCUGUUGUAUGAGAAGAAAGAAUGGGGGAGUGGAAUAUUCACGUUGUGACGGUAUCUAAUCAGAAAGGGACGGCUAACUACGUG